AUUGGAAAAUUUAAAUGAACAAAAAGAAACCAGGAAGAAAGAAAAAACACAGCCCACCAGCAAACAGUCAACAUGUAGAAAAAAAUUGAAUUACGCAUGCCAAUCUAUACAUGAUACAAAAAAACGCAACCCAAGAUAUUUACAUUUAAAAUUAUCAUUAAGAGGACUCGUCAUAAAAUGGCCGAUGAUCUAAAUAGUGACACAAUUCAAUAGAGUUCUAAUGACAUUUCAGAUAAAAGCAACUAUGUUUAAACCUGUUCAGGUGUAACCCAUCUUGCAGAGGGCAUAAGAAUGCUCAAAUACCCACAUAUCAAUAUAUCCAUUUAGCUAAUGUUUAAUUCCAAAAUAAAUGAUCAUGGAUGCAUAAAAGACAUGAAUUUAAUAAAAAGUUAGUGUGGUAACUCCAUACAUCUUUACAGCCAUCUCUCCUCACAAUUCCACAUCAACAGGCAUCCACACGACUUUCAAUACAAGUGGCUAAAAUAACACAACUUAGAUGGAAAGGGAAAUGGUUAUCUGACAAAGCAUAUAAAUAAAAAAAGUGCGAUAGAAGUGAAUGGCACCAGGCAGUUCUGAUUAGGAAUCAAACAAUGUCUGGUGCAAGUUAUGGAAUUAGACUGAUGAGUUGCAUAAAUUGACUAAAAUAAUAAUAAGUUCUGGUUGUCUUUUAAAGAAGGCCUAAACAAAUCCAUUUACAAUUAAAUCAUACUUGCAUUUAGGCUAUGUCAGCUGACAGUUUCGAACCAAAAAGCCUAAGCUCAACAACACUUGGACACCAAAAGUCUAUAAAUCUAGGAUCUCCAGGAAAGUUUUUUUUUUUUGAAAAAAAACUACAGCCCUAAAAGUUGUUUAUUAUAAUCAAAACAAAUCCCUUGGAUUAAAACAAAAAUGUCAACUAAUCACAGAGAAUUCUAAACACAAUAUAAUUAUAACAAAAGGAAAGUAAGAUUUUCACAUAAUCUCAAACAAACACUUCACCUUUCCUUAACAAACAAAAGAAAAGCUUCAUGAUUAAUAAGUCAAAUCGG